GCCCGAAAUCCCCGGGAAAGGGGGGAAUGGGAUUACGGGGGAGACCCUCAGGAGGGCCCCUCUUUAACCCUGCGCCUGCCAGGCCCCAGUCUGAGGGGAGAAGACAGCCAGAUGGGACACCUCUUGGGCGCCCCCAUUCUGGCGCGGCGCCAAGUGAGGGUGGCAGGCCAGGCCCUGAUGUCAUCUGGUGCUGGGUGGGUGGGCCUGUUUGAUGUCUCUGUGUGCUGCGUUGCCAUGGGGCCCGGCAGGCAGCCCUGCGUGUGAGCUGGGGUGACCUAUGGGGCGGCUGGGUCUAUCAGGGUCCCUUGACCCAGCGCCCCCAUCCCAGGUCUACAGGAGUCCCUCGACCGGCAUGUUCCUGCCUCGGGACCUUUUCACUGGCCGUUCCCUCCACCUUGGACUUUUCCUCCAGAUGUCUGCAAGGCACCUCCUUCACCUCCUACAAAUCUUUGUUCAAAUGUCACCUCCUCCUCAUGCAGCCUGUCCUGACCUGGUCCCCACCGGCUCCGUCCUCAUCUCCUUUGCCCCCUUCUGUCCUCCCUUAGCACCUAGCACCCAACACGCAGUAUAUCU